rnacentral:tRNA from 1 species
GGGGAUUUAGCUCAGUGGUAGAGCACUUGCCUAGCAAGCAAGCUGGGUUCGGUCCCCA